UGAUUAUCAACCCAAUGGCAGCCUCUUCAAUCUCAUUCACGGUAUACAUUAUUGAACCCCAACAUAUGAUAUUGUGAAUUUUUAGCAUUAUUUUUGCUUUUGUUAAUUUGUGGGUGAAUUACUACAUUGCUGUCCGAGUUGAUACCAUGUCUCUCUUAAUUUAGGUUAGUGAUAUUUAUACUCUGCCUAAGUUACAGCAACAUUAUCUAUUUCAUGGCGAAUAUUAAAAGAUACCAGUAAGAUUAGAGGUUUUUUUUUUUUUGAGA
rnacentral:misc_RNA from 1 species